GUAACGAAUCUUCCGCAAUGCGCGAAAGCGUGACGGGGCAAUGCCGCGUGCAGGAUGAAGCCCUUCGGGGUGUAAACUGCUGUCAGGGUGCAGGAAUGAAAUGACCAUACCCAAAGGAAGCACCGGCUAACUCUGUGCCAGCAGCCGCGGUAAUACAGAGGGUGCGAGCGUUAAUCGGAAUCACUGGGCUUAAAGGGUGCGUAGGCGGAUGCAUAGGCGCUUUGUGAAAUCCCACGGCUCAACCGUGGAAUUGCUUGGCGAACCAUGCGUCUUGAGGUUGGUAGAGGUCACUGGAACGAUAGGUGGAGCGGUGAAAUGCGUAGAUAUCUAUCGGAACGCCAAAGGUGAAGACAGGUGACUGGGCCAAAUCUGACGCUGAGGCACGAAAGCGUGGGGAGCAAACGGGAUUAGAUACCCUAGUAGUCC
rnacentral:rRNA from 1 species